UGUGGUUUAAUUCGAAGCAACGCGAAGAACCUUUACCAGGUCUUGACAUCCCUCUGAAUGGCGCUUAGCAGCGCAGGUCUUUCGGGACAGAGGAGACAGGUGGUGCGAUGGUUGUCGUCAGCUCGUGUCGUGAGAUGUUGGGUUAAGUCCCGCAACGAGCGCAACCCUUGCCUUUAGUUGCCAGCACGUUAUGGUGGGCACUCUAGAGGGACUGCCGGUGACAAACCGGAGGAAGGUGGGGAUGACGUCAAAUCAUCAUGCCCCUUAUGAUCUGGGCUACACACGUGCUACAAUGGCCGGUACAACGAGAAGCGAAACCGCGAGGUGAAGCAAAUCUUUUAAAGCCGGUCCCAGUUCGGAUUGCAGGCUGAAACUCGCCUGCAUGAAGUUGGAGUUGCUAGUAAUCGCGGAUCAGCAUGCCGUGGUGAAUGCGUUCCCGGGUCUU
rnacentral:rRNA from 1 species